rnacentral:rRNA from 1 species
UGGGGAAUCUUCCGCAAUGGACGAAAGUCUGACGGAGCAACGCCGCGUGAGUGAUGACGGCCUUCGGGUUGUAAAGCUCUGUUAAUCGGGACGAAUGGUUCUUGUGCAAAUAGUGCGAGGAUUUGACGGUACCGGAAUAGAAAGCCACGGCUAACUACGUGCCAGCAGCCGCGGUAAUACGUAGGUGGCAAGCGUUGUCCGGAAUUAUUGGGCGUAAAGCGCGCGCAGGCGGAUUGGUCAGUCUGUCUUAAAAGUUCGGGGCUUAACCCCGUGAUGGGAUGGAAACUGCCAAUCUAGAGUAUCGGAGAGGAAAGUGGAAUUCCUAGUGUAGCGGUGAAAUGCGUAGAUAUUAGGAAGAACACCAGUGGCGAAGGCGACUUUCUGGACGAAAACUGACGCUGAGGCGCGAAAGCCAGGGGAGCGAACGGGAUUAGAUACCCCGGUAGUCCUGGCCGUAAACGAUGGGUACUAGGUGUAGGAGGUAUCGACCCCUUCUGUGCCGGAGUUAACGCAAUAAGUACCCCGCCUGGGGAGUACGACCGCGAGGUUG